rnacentral:rRNA from 1 species
AUGGCCAGAGAACAUGCAGUCGAAAAAAUGUCUUAUUGUGGCUCUCAAUCUGAUAAAAUAUCGUGUGAAAAUGUCUCUGAGGAUCUGGGUGUGGAAGAGAUGACUGAAUCUCCCAUUACUGAGAUCAGUGUGCAUAAAGGUGCUUGGGGAAUGAUUACUCCUGUUCCUCCCUCACCUAUGUUUGUCUGUCAUGAUAUGAAUACUUAUGGGAAUGCAUUUCCUCCCUUGUCAGACUAUGUGGUUUGGCCUUCCCUGCCUCAUAUUAUGCCACUUGAGGAGGGAUCCCUGGAAGGAGGAGAAAACUGUAGUGUGUAUACAGUUGAAUCUCCCUCUGGAUGUCCAAUUCAUGACAACAUGAGUCAAGAAGAGGAGGCCCCACGCAGAAUGAGGAAGCGCAAUCUGGAAGGUUUGCUAAAGGAAGAUGAAAAGGUGAAGCUCCAAGUUGGAGUGAAGAGGUUGGCUCACGCGGCUGCUGCGCUGGUGGACAGAUCUCAUCCUCGAGGCAGGCCACUCUUAGGAGACAGAGAUGGGAUCCAGAUUGGCUAG